rnacentral:rRNA from 1 species
AACGAACGCUGGCGGCAUGCCUAACACAUGCAAGUCGAACGAAGGCUUCGGCCUUAGUGGCGCACGGGUGCGUAACGCGUGGGAAUCUGCCCUUAGGUUCGGAAUAACAGUUAGAAAUGACUGCUAAUACCGGAUGAUGACGUAAGUCCAAAGAUUUAUCGCCUGAGGAUGAGCCCGCGUAGGAUUAGCUAGUUGGUGUGGUAAAGGCGCACCAAGGCGACGAUCCUUAGCUGGUCUGAGAGGAUGAUCAGCCACACUGGGACUGAGACACGGCCCAGACUCCUACGGGAGGCAGCAGUGGGGAAUAUGGGACAAUGGGCGCAAGCCUGAUCCAGCAAGGCCGCGUGAGUGAUGAAGGCCUUAGGGUUGUAAAGCUCUUUUACCCGUGAUGAUAAUGACAGUAGCGGGAGAAUAAGCCCCGGCUAACUCCGU